AAUGAGUUUCAUCUGAUCUGGACUGUUGCCGCUGACAGAGACUCGGUGAGCUGAUUGUUCUCAGCUGGCCUUGAUUGUGGAGGUGGCAAACUGGUAAAGGGGCUGCCGAGAGAGCGGGAGCGAGUCCUGGGGAGCGGAGCAUGUAUGUCGCGGGUAGUUUGCCCGGCGAAGGUACUGAUACUGCACUCACGGGACCCUCUUGCGGUCCCAGGGCCCUAAGCAGCUUUGUUUGCUCACUGCCGGCUCUGGAAACACACUUUUCCUGGUGUUUUGAGACGGCGCAGCAGCAGAAAAGCAGUGGGAAGAACUGCUGUGAACGGACAUUUCUCAUCCUGGGCGGAGGAGGGGGAGCAGACGGAAGGCAGCUCUGUGCUGUCUGGGCUCCACUGGGAGCUUUGGCACUAAUUUUGUGGGAGAAGAAGAUUGUUUUGGCUAUAAUGAAGGAUCUGUUUGUUAACCCUGUGACCUUGAUGUGGAUUGGGAGUUUGUCCACUCAUUCAACUCACUCAACAGCUGACUGUUGUUUUGCACUGCAGUAACUGCGCUGGAUGUGAUUUGAGGUUUUACAGCUUUGAUUAUGUAGAAAAACAGCCUGGAAUAAAAAUAAAUGUAACCCCUUUGAUUCAUGCGGA